GAUGAACGCUGGCGGCGUGCCUAAUACAUGCAAGUCGAGCGAACAGACGAGGAGCUUGCUCCUCUGACGUUAGCGGCGGACGGGUGAGUAACACGUGGAUAACCUACCUAUAAGACUGGGAUAACUUCGGGAAACCGGAGCUAAUACCGGAGAAUAUAUUGAACCGCAUGGUUCAAUAGUGAAAGACGGUUGUGCUGUCACUUAUAGAUGGAUCCGCGCCGCAUUAGCUAGUUGGUAAGGUAACGGCUUACCAAGGCAACGAUGCGUAGCCGACCUGAGAGAGUGAUCGGCCACACUGGAACUGAGACACGGUCCAGACUCCUACGAGAGGCACCAGUAGGGAAUCUUACGCAAUGGGCGAAAGCCUGACGGAGCAACGCCGCGUGAGUGAUGAAGGUCUUCGGAUCGUAAAACUCUGUUAUUAGGGAAGAACAAAUGUGUAAGUAACUAUGCACGUCUUGACGGUACCUAAUCAGAAAGCCACGGCUAACUACGUG
rnacentral:rRNA from 1 species